GAUGAACGCUGGCGGCGUGCCUAAUACAUGCAAGUCGAGCGAACGGACGAGAAGCUUGCUUCUCUGAUGUUAGCGGCGGACGGGUGAGUAACACGUGGAUAACCUACCUAUAAGACUGGGAUAACUUCGGGAAACCGUAGCUAAUACCGGAUAAUAUUUUGCACCGCAUGGUUCAAAAGUGAAAGACGGUCUUGCUGUCACUUAUAGAUGGAUCCGCGCUGCAUUAGCUGGUUGUUAAGGUAACGGCUUACCAAGGCAACUAUGCAUAGACGACCUGAGAGGGUGAUAGGCCACACUGGAGCUGAGACACGGUCCAGACUCCUACGGGAGGCAGCAGUAGGGAAUCUUACGCAAUGGGCGAAAGCCUGACGCAGCAACGCCGCGUGAGUGAUGAAGGUCUUCGGAUCGUAAAACUCUGUUAUUAGUGAAGAACAUAUGUGGAAGUAACUGUGCACAUCUUGACGGUACCUAAUCAGAAAGCCACGGCUAACUACGUG
rnacentral:rRNA from 1 species